GAUGAAGAACGCAGCGAAAUGCGAUAAGUAAUGCGAAUUGCAGAAUUCCAGUGAGUCAUCGAAUCUUUGAACGCACCUUGCGCCCUUUGGCCAUUCCGAAGGGCAUGCCUGUUUGAGUAUCAUGAACACCUCAACUCUCAUGGCUCGCCAUGAUGAGCUUGGACUUUGGGGGUCUUGCUGGCCUGUGGUCGGCUCCUCUCAAAUGGAUCAGCUUGCCAGUGUUUGGUGGCAUCACAGGUGUGAUAACUAUCUGCGCUUGUGGUUUUCCAUCAGAUAACCUUCAGUGAUGGAGGUUCGCUGGAGCUCAUAAACGUCUCCCCUAAGCGGGGACAGCCCUUUGAAUGUUUGAUCUCAAAUCAGGUAGGACUACCCGCUGAACUUAAGCAUAUCAAUAAGCGGAGGA
rnacentral:misc_RNA from 1 species